rnacentral:rRNA from 1 species
AGCGAACGCUGGCGGCAGGCCUAACACAUGCCAGUCGAACGAACCUUUCGGGGUUAGUGGCGGACGGGUGAGUACCACGUGGGAACGUGCCUUUAGGUUCGGUAUAACUCAGGGAAACUUGUGCUAAUACCGAAUGUGCCCUUCGGGGGAAAGAUUACUCGCCUUUAGAGCGGCCCGCGUCUGAUUAGCUAGUUGGUUGAGGUAAUGGCUCACCACGGCGACGAUCAGUAGCUGGUCUGAGAGGAUGAUCAGCCACAUUGGGACUGAGACACGGCCCAAACUCCUACGGAAGGCAGCAGUGGGGAAUCUUGCGCAAUGGGCGAAAGCCUGACGCAGCCAUGCCGCGUGAAUGAUGAAGGUCUUAGGAUUGUAAAAUUCUUUCACCGGAGACGAUAAUGACGGUACCCGGAGAAGAAGCCCCGGCUAACUUCGUG